AUACGGAGGAUGCGAGCGUUAUCCGGAUUUAUUGGGUUUAAAGGGAGCGUAGAUGGGAGCUUAAGCCAGUUGUGAAAAGCGCGGGCCCAACCCGCGUCGUGCAAUUGGAACUGUGUUCCUUGAGUGGGUUCGGGGCAGGUGGAAUUCGUGGUGUAGCGGUGAAAUGCUUAGAUAUCACGAAGAACUCCGACAGCGUAGGCAUCCUGCCAGGCCCUUACUGACAUUGAAGCUCGAAGGUGCGGGUAUCAAACAGGAUUAGAUACCCUGGUAGUCCGCACGGUAAACGAUGGAUGCCCGCUGUCGGCGACAGACAGUCGGCGGCCAAGCGAAAGCGUUAAGCAUCCCACCUGGGGAGUACGCCGGCAACGGUGAAACUCAAAGGAAUUGACGGGG
rnacentral:rRNA from 1 species